rnacentral:rRNA from 1 species
ACAUAAGGAGCUUGCUCCUUUGACGUUAGCGGCGGACGGGUGAGUAACACGUGGGUAACCUACCUAUAAGACUGGAAUAACUCCGGGAAACCGGGGCUAAUGCCGGAUAAUAUUUAGAACCGCAUGGUUCUAAAGUGAAAGAUGGUUUUACUAUCACUUAUAGAUGGACCCGCGCCGUAUUAGCUAGUUGGUGGGGUAAUGGCUUACCAAGGCAACGAUACGUAGCCGACCUGAGAGGGUGAUCGGCCACACUGGAACUGAGACACGGUCCAGACUCCUACGGGAGGCAGCAGUAGGGAAUCUUCCGCAAUGGGCGAAAGCCUGACGGAGCAACGCCGCGUGAGUGAUGAAGGUCUUCGGAUCGUAAAACUCUGUUAUUAGGGAAG